rnacentral:rRNA from 1 species
GACGAACGCUGGCGGCGUGCUUAACACAUGCAAGUCGAACGGUGAAAGCGGAGCUUGCUCCGCUGGAUCAGUGGCGAACGGGUGAGUAACACGUGGGCAACCUGCCCCUGACUUCGGGAUAACUCCUCGAAAGAGGUGCUAAUACCGGAUACGAAUCCUGCAGGCAUCUGCGGGAUUGGAAAGUUUUUCGGUCAGGGAUGGGCCCGCUGCCUAUCAGCUUGUUGGUGAGGUAGUGGCUCACCAAGGCGACGACGGGUAGCCGGCCUGAGAGGGCGGCCGGCCACACUGGGACUGAGACACGGCCCAGACUCCGACGGGGGGCAGCAGGGGGGAAUAUUGCGCAAUGGGCGAGAGCCUGACGCAGCAACGCCGCGUGAGGGAUGACGGCCUUCGGGUUGUAAACCUCUUUCAGCAGGGAAGAAGCGAAAGUGACGGUACCUGCAGAAGAAGCACCGGCUAACUACGUGCCAGCCGCCGCGAUAA